AAGUGGUGAUGAUGAUGACGAUGGCAAUGAUGGUGACAGGAAGUCUUCACCAUGCAGAGGUUGUUACGUGGAUCAUCUCACUUAAUCAUCACAACACACCUAGGAGGCCAUGGGCACGUGGCCCAAGAAGUUUGGUCAGUCAGACACUCCAGCUGGCACCCCUGGUCUGCACACAGAAUGACACCAUCGAGGUCAGCCACCCUGGGCUAAGCGGAUGAAGGCUACACUCUAGCCAUGGCAGAGAAGCAAGGCAGAAGAGAGCUGGAUCUUUGACUGCCCUCAUGAAAUAGAGUUGCCGUAGCAGACUGGGAUUGUUACACA